GGCCUGAUGGUCUAGUAGCAUGAUUCUCCCUUCGGGUUUGCCCGCUCUAAUGCCAGAGUCCAUUGGGAGAGGUCCCGGGUUCAAUUCCCGGUCAGGCCC